AAGGAAUAUUGGUCAAUGGAGGGAACUCUGAACCAGCCAUUCCGCGUGAAGGAUGACGGCCCUCUGGGUUGUAAACUUCUUUAGUCUGGGAAGAAAAGUUUGCAUUUAUGCGAAUCUGACGGUACCAGAAGAAUAAGCACCGGCUAACUCCGUGCCAGCAGCCGCGGUAAUACGGAGGGUGCAAGCGUUAUCCGGAAUCACUGGGUUUAAAGGGUGCGUAGGCGGCAUUAUAAGUCAGGAGUGAAAUUCCACAGCUUAACUGUAGGGACUGCUUUUGAUACUGUAGUGCUAGAACCGAGAUGAGGUAGGCGGAAUGUGACAUGUAGCGGUGAAAUGCAUAGAUAUGUCAUAGAACACCAAUUGCGAAGGCAGCUUACUAGACUUAGGUUGACGCUGAGGCACGAAAGCGUGGGGAGCAAAC
rnacentral:rRNA from 1 species